UGCCACUAUUAUAUAUGUUUA
ensembl:piRNA 21ur-1550 ncRNA